CCUACGGGGUGCUGCAGUGGGGAAUAUUGGACAAUGGGCGAAAGCCUGAUCCAGCCAUGCCGCGUGUGUGAAGAAGGCCUUCGGGUUGUAAAGCACUUUCAGUGGGGAAGAAAGCCUUGGGGCUAAUACCCUCGAGGAAGGACAUCACCCACAGAAGAAGCACCGGCUAACUCCGUGCCAGCAGCCGCGGUAAUACGGAGGGUGCGAGCGUUAAUCGGAAUUACUGGGCGUAAAGCGCGCGUAGGCGGUCUGAUAAGCCGGUUGUGAAAGCCCCGGGCUCAACCUGGGAACGGCAUCCGGAACUGUCAGGCUAGAGUGCAGGAGAGGAAGGUAGAAUUCCCGGUGUAGCGGUGAAAUGCGUAGAGAUCGGGAGGAAUACCAGUGGCGAAGGCGGCCUUCUGGACUAACACUGACGCUGAGGUGCGAAAGCGUGGGUAGCAAACAGGAUUAGAUACCCGAGUAGUC
rnacentral:rRNA from 1 species